rnacentral:rRNA from 1 species
AGAGGGGGCAAGCGUUAUUCGGAAUUAUUGGGCGUAAAGGGCGCGUAGGCGGCUUGGCAAGUGGAAGGUGAAAUCCCUCGGCUUAACCGAGGAACUGCCCUCCAAACUGCUUUGCUUGAGGCCGGGAGAGGUGAGUGGAAUUCCCAGUGUAGCGGUGAAAUGCGUAGAUAUUGGGAGGAACACCAGUGGCGAAGGCGGCUCACUGGACCGGUUCUGACGCUGAUGCGCGAAAGCGUGGGGAGCAAACGGGAUUAGAUACCCCGGUAGUCCACGCCGUAAACGAUGAGUGCUUGGUGUAGCGGGUAUCGACCCCUGCUGUGCCGAAGUCAACACAUUAAGCACUCCGCCUGGGGAGUACGGUCGCAAGGCGG